UACAGAGGGUGCAAGCGUUAUUCGGAAUUACUGGGCGUAAAGCGCAUGUAGGCGGUUUAGGAAGUCUGGUGUGAAAUCCCCCGACUCAAUCGGGGAAGUGCAUUGGAUACUGCUAGACUAGAGUAUGGGAGAGGUGAGUGGAAUUCCAGGUGUAGAGGUGAAAUUCGUAGAUAUCUGGAGGAACAACAGAGGCGAAGGCGGCUCACUGGACCAUUACUGACGCUGAGAUGCGAAAGCGUGGGGAGCAAACAGG
rnacentral:rRNA from 1 species